rnacentral:rRNA from 1 species
ACCCUGGUAGUCCACGCCGUAAACGAUGGAUACUAGGUGUAGGGGGUAUCAACUCCCCCUGUGCCGCAGUUAACACAAUAAGUAUCCCGCCUGGGGAGUACGGUCGCAAGAUUAAAACUCAAAGGAAUUGACGGGGGCCCGCACAAGCAGCGGAGCAUGUGGUUUAAUUCGAAGCAACGCGAAGAACCUUACCUGGACUUGACAUCCCUUGCAUAGCCUAGAGAUAGGUGAAGCUCGGGGCAAGGAGACAGGUGGUGCAUGGUUGUCGUCAGCUCGUGUCGUGAGAUGUUAGGUUAAGUCCUGCAACGAGCGCAACCCUUGUUAUUAGUUGCUACCAUUAAGUUGAGCACUCUAAUGAGACUGCCUGGGUAACCAGGAGGAAGGUGGGGAUGACGUCAAAUCAUCAUGCCCCUUAUGUCCAGGGCUACACACGUGCUACAAUGGUAGGUACAAUAAGAUGCGAGACCGUGAGGUGGAGCAAAACUUAUAAAACCUAUCUCAGUUCGGAUUGUAGGCUGCAACUCGCCUACAUGAAGCUGGAGUUGCUAGUAAUCGCGAAUCAGAAUGUCGCGGUGAAUACGUUCCCGGGCCUUGUACACACCGCCCGUCACACCAUGAGAGCUGGUAACACCCGAAGUCCGUGAGGUAACCGUAAGGAGCCAGCGGCCGAAGGUGGGAUUAGUGAUUGGGGUGAAGUCGUAACAAGGUAGCCGUAGGAGAACCUGCGGCUG